UGACGGAAUGGAUAACGCGUCUGACUACGCAUCAGAAGAUUCCAGGUUCGAAUCCUGG
rnacentral:tRNA from 1 species